UCUCCAGUAGCUCAGCGGUAGAGCGUGCGGCUGUUAACCGCAGUGCCGUUGGUUCGAACCCAACCUGGGGAG
rnacentral:tRNA from 1 species